rnacentral:rRNA from 1 species
UACGUAGGGGGCAAGCGUUGUCCGGAUUCAUUGGGCGUAAAGAGCGUGUAGGCGGCCAGGUAGGUCGGUUGUGAAAACUGGAGGCUCAACCUUCAGAGGUCGACCGAAACCAUCUGGCUAGAGUCCGGGAGAGGAGAGUGGAAUUCCCAGUGUAGAGGUGAAAUUCGUAGAUAUUGGGAAGAACACCGGUGGCGAAGGCGGCCAUCUGGACCGCAACUGACGCUGAGGCGCGAAAGCGUGGGGAGCAAACAGG